GUGACUUAAUCUUGUAAAUUGUAGGAAACAACGAUGAACAUGGCGAAAUUCAGGAGAAAAGACGGGAAAAGGACUAAAGUGACGCAAAGUGAAAGUUCAGGGACCAAAAGUGUAAAUAUCCAAAUGUUGAUCCGAUGAACAAAUCGAAAAAUCGAUUAGGUCAAUACCAAUUGACGAUAUCGUGGUGUGAUGAAAUGAAAAGAAUGAAGAGAAGAUGCUAAUAAGUGAAGAAUGCAAGUGGGAGGACCAAAACGCAAUUUCGACCAUAGUUGAUAGUACUAUGCGACAGCAUAGUACUAUCCUCUAUGCGGUCACAUAGUACCAUACCGAAAUAAAAAACGCCUGAAAAGUUUACUCUAUGCGACCGCAUAGAAUUGCUCUAUGCGGUCGCAUAGAGCAAAUAUUGAAGAAAAAUUUAGCUUCAUUUUUCUUCCUAAACUCUUAUGGAAACAAUAAUUUUAGGGUCCUAUAAAUACAAAAACUCGAUUAGAACAUAGGGGACGUCGUUUUUAUAUGUUUUUGGGAAAUUUUGAAGGAGAAACGAGGGAGAGAACAACAUCGCGCCAAUUGAAGAUCGGAUUGAAGAUUGAUUCGGGUGAUGUCGUUUCUUCAAAUAUUUUUAAGUUUUGUUCUUUUUAGCAUGUUAGGCUAGAUUUAUCACUACUAGGAGAUCGAUGAACCUUUAAUACUACGUUUAAUUGUUGUUUUGGAUUUUUGACGUAUUUGAACACUAAUUCCGGAAUUGAUUGAUUUAUUUCGUUUUUAUUUUCAUAUAAUUAUUGUCCACGUGAUU
rnacentral:lncRNA from 1 species